rnacentral:rRNA from 1 species
UACGUAGGGUGCGAGCGUUAAUCGGAAUUACUGGGCGUAAAGCGUGCGCAGGCGGUGAUGUAAGACCGAUGUGAAAUCCCCGGGCUCAACCUGGGAACUGCAUUUGUGACUGCACGGCUAGAGUGUGUCAGAGGGGGGUAGAAUUCCACGUGUAGCAGUGAAAUGCGUAGAUAUGUGGAGGAAUACCGAUGGCGAAGGCAGCCCCCUGGGAUAACACUGACGCUCAUGCACGAAAGCGUGGGGAGCAAACAGG